UCCUACGGGAGGCAGCAGUGAGGAAUAUUGGUCAAUGGGCGGGAGCCUGAACCAGCCAAGCCGCGUGAAGGAAGAAGGCGCCAGGCGUCGUAAACUUCUUUUGUCGGGGAACAAAGGGCGCCACGCGUGGCGUUGUGAGUGUACCCGAAGAAAAAGCAUCGGCUAACUCCGUGCCAGCAGCCGCGGUAAUACGGAGGAUGCGAGCGUUAUCCGGAUUUACCGGGUGUAAAGGGAGCGUAGGCGGUUUAGCAAGUCAGAAGUGAAAGCCCGGGGCUCAACUCCGGGACUGCUUUUGAAACUGUUGA
rnacentral:rRNA from 1 species